ACAUUGUGCUCUAAUGGUUGUUGG
rnacentral:siRNA from 1 species